GAUACUCUAUACCCCUGGGGAACACCGUACUUCACAGUUUAGCAAGGAGGUUGCCAGGAUACUGACUGACAACAAUAUACCCCUCUAUGCAAAAGCAUGGCUUUUUGUUGGUUAAACAUUUAUGAUUGUUACUGGAUUACUUUGGCUAAGAUUGGAUGAGCAAAAUGCAUCAUGUACAUUGCAGUACAUUAAUAUAGAUAAUUGUCUUUAUAAUGUUUUUUUGUUUUUGUUUUUUUUUCCUCACUUUAGGUAAAACAGGUUUAUUACCAUGUCUGUUGGUUUAUGGGUGUAACUCUUAUUUCCCAAGGAAGAUGAAGAAGAUGAUAAUAUUACACACAGGGUUUAUUAGAAUAAUCCAAAUUGAAAGCCAACGUGCAAAACAGCAUGCUAACAUGAGACAGUACAAGACAAAGAACAGAACACAUGCAGGAACUUAAAUACACAGAGAUGAUUAACUAAAAAGACAAACAGUUGUCAUGAUGAGUGUUAAUGUCCAUGGUAACUGAUGAGUGGCGGGAAACUUAAAAUAAGGAACGCAUUUGAUGAAUAAAAAACAAACAGAAAGUCCAUGAAAACUAAAACAAACUGAACAUGACUGUGACAUGACAGGGACAAGCUGAACAUGACAGGGAAGGAGGAACCCGCUGCAGCCGUAGUAGUGGAAGGACGGAGUGCAGCGGAUGGCCUGUAUGUCCGUGGCGGAAGUGGUGUGACAACUGACCAAGGGGAAGCCGGAGAGACGAGGGAACCUGGAGGAGCCAAUAGGCCGAGUGUCUCCGGUGGAGCCAGGGCUUUCCCGGAGAUGGUGUAGGGCUGCAAACAUAAGGCAGCAGCGGGCUGGAGGACUGGUUGAACUUUGUGGUGGUGGUGAUGAAAUGAAACUUGACAGGAUGACAGUAAUCAUGAUAAGGGCCACACAGGUUAAAGCAAAGAAUAGAUCUCAGGUCAUAAUGUUGACAAUACUGUCCAUACACAAUGAUAAUUCCAAACAGACUGACGAAUCACAGUUAUUAAAGUUCUCUUUGGACAAUACUGAUAAUUCAGAUACCAGGUGGGAUAGGGUGGGAGUCAACACAUCCCUAUAGAAGUCCAUCAGCCAGUCCUCCAUCUUCAUUCCCUCAGCUGUUGGUGUCUCGGGCUCACUCACCUGGUCAGAUUCACUAUGGGGUUCCACUUCCUGAGCGAUGGUGACUCCUGUCCUGUCCUCUCUUCCUCAGGCUCUGGCUCACUCAACAUUUGCGGGGGGCACACGCAAUUCCUCCAUGGUUGAUGGUGUUGAAGUUUGAUCUAGGACUGGCUGUUCUCUGGAUCUGGGUUCGACGCUCUCCAAACACCUAAUGACGGCUUCCUUCCAGUCAAGUCCUUUGGUGUCUAUGAGGUCAACGGGAUGAUAGUAGUUUGCCCCGAUCCAGAAAAGUGACUGCAGGGUCUCAUCAUCAUAGAGGCAGGUGAGUGCAAGACAGCAAAAUCCCUCAAUGAAAAUGAAAUAGUUCUGGCUCUCAUGAGCCAGAGCAGCAAACUGAGUUGCAUAAUCCAUUUUGGUCCAGUAUUCUGUAACUCUUAGAUCCCAAGGAAGACAAAGAAGAUGGUAAUAUUACACACAGGGUUUAUUAGAAUAAUCCAAACUGAACGCUGACAGCAUGCUAAGACAAGACCAGACAAAGAACAGAACACAUGCAGGAACUUAAAUACACAGAGAUGAUUAACUAAAAGAUGAACAGCCGUGAUGAUGAGUGUUAGUGUCCAUGGUAACUGAUGAGUGGCGGGAAACUAGAACAUAGGAACACGUGAUGAAGAAAAACAAGCAGAACGUCCAUGAAAACUAAAACAAACUGACUGUGACAAUGGGACACUGCAAGUGUCAUGCAAAAAAUGUCUGAUAUGUAAUGCAUAAUUCCCAGAUGUUUGUUGCAUAAUGAAACUGACAAAAUAAAAUCAUCUAUUUUAGUGAAUGGUCUGAAAAAACUGACAGCUCAUUAAAAAAAGGAGAAAAUAUGCAUGUCUGUGCAAUUAAUUUUACCCACCAAGAGAACAAUUUAAAAAAUUUAAAUAGGAGCAUUCUGUAUGGAUUUUCCAUGAUGAGCAAUCCAAAGUGCCAGUUGCGGUGUUUGUCCUGGCUGGAGGAACCAUUCGUUGAGUUUGCUGCGGGCAGGCUCUUCUGGGGUCGUCCAGUCCAAACCGAGCUCUUGAACAGCAUUAGUGAGGAUGAGCUCUGAGUCCACCACCCGCACAUUAUCUGUCUCUUUUAGCAGUGGAGGGGCGGAGUCAUCUCCGAACUUUGCCCACUCCCCACACUCAGAGGAGGCCAGAGACAUCGCCUGUGUCCGAAAACUGGAAAAUGCUGCCUUCGAAGGACACAUUUCAAGAUAGGAAGGCAUCAAGACACGUCCGAAUCCAAUGUUACCUUCACUUCCUGUUUCCUGAUGUGGCAUUACAGGUAAGAUGGGCAUGAUUUCCCGAAUUUAAUUGCUAGGGCGGGCAUUUUUGCAUCAUUGAUUGGUAUGGUCUAUAAAAGCCAUUGGCUUAUGUACCUGGGCAGGUGUCAUUUCCCGGAUGUGGUUUGGCUUUUGUUGUUCUGCUGAACGUGACUGUGGGUCGGUAAAGGAGAGCGGCUGUGUGUACAGUCGAUUUCAUGUUUGGCGUUUUGCCGCGGCUGCCCUGUUCGGCUGAUGAAUGUGACUGCAUAUGUCCUUCUCCAGUUAAUGUUUUGCGUAUGGGCGUCGGCUGUUGCAUAUAGGCUGUGUAUUUAAUCAUCUGGCCUCAUCCCGUUCCUGCAGUGAUCGUUUGGGUGGAUAAUAUCCUCGCAGUGGCGUCACCGCUGUCUCGUUCUAGUCGAACUUCAUUGAGUCUGUGUGCGUUGGGUCAAGGUCGUGUUGUUGAACCCAUGUCAACGGAUUUUGUUUUGUUUGUUUUGUUUCUGAAGAUUGAGUCUUUAUUUUGUUUUUUUGCUUUUUUGUUUUUGUGAAUUUUCUAUUCAUCUUUUUGAAUCAGUUUGAUUUAUUUUUUUUGUGUAUAAGCUAUUUUGCUUCUCUUUUUUUGUAGUUUUGUCAACCUUUGGUAUUGAUUCAGUUUGUUCUUUUUGUAUUGUGAGUUUUUGUAUUUGAGUUUGGGUUAUUUUCAUUUUUUUGAAUUGGUUGGAUUUACUUUUGUUGUUAAUCUGCCUGAUAUAGUUUGUUUCCUUUGUGUCCAAAUUUGAGUUGUUUUCUUUUGAAUUGGGUUAUCUAAUUUUCUUUGAUUGUUGAUAUUGUGAAAUUUUGUCGUCUUCAUUGAGUCAUUUUUAAUUUCUUUGUGUUAUUUGAUAUUUUGAGUUAAAGCGAAUUGUUUAAGAUUUAUGUAGGUGAUCUAGAACGAUUUGUAUUAAUCUCUCUCUGUGUGUGUGUGUGUGUGA